UACGUAGGGUGCAAGCGUUGUCCGGAAUUAUUGGGCGUAAAGAGCUCGUAGGCGGUUUGUCGCGUCGGCUGUGAAAACUCGGGGCUCAACCCCGAGCCUGCAGUCGAUACGGGCAAACUAGAGUGUGGUAGGGGAGACUGGAAUUCCUGGUGUAGCGGUGGAAUGCGCAGAUAUCAGGAGGAACACCGGUGGUGUAGACGGCUUUCUGGACCGUAACUGACGCUGAGACACGAAAGCGUGGGUAGCAAACAGG
rnacentral:rRNA from 1 species